UCGUCAGUGGUAAUGGGGGGUAACGCGU
rnacentral:sRNA from 1 species